GUGAAUCAUCGAAUUUUUGAACGCAAAUUGCGCUCUCCUCGGAGAGUAUGCCUGUUUGAGGGUCAGCCUAUAAAAAUCGACAGCGUUGCUUUUUCUCGGUGGCGUUCGUCGGAAUUUGGGUCAUCUUAAAUCCUUUUUAUUUAAUCGUCUUAAAAUUUUCUGUUGUUUCCAUUUACGUUUCUAUG
rnacentral:misc_RNA from 1 species